CUGCCGUUCCGUUCGGUUCUCACAGCCGUUCCGUUGGAGUCCCUGAUGUAUUGAUCUUCAACAACAAUCGCCUCUUCCAGUUCUUCCUCAAGACCGAUUCAUCUGCAACUGCUGGGUUUACCCAACUACCGAUUAAUACAAGACGAGCUCAAAUCUCUGCAAUGGCGGCUUGCACUGUGAAUGUGCUCAGGUGACUGGCUCCAGCGACUCUGCUUCAUCGACGUGCUGCGUGGUGCUCAGCUUUGGAAGAAGGCUAUGCUCAUCUAUUUGAAGAGAAGUGUAUAUGAGAAGUAUAUAGAAUAUUACUACCUCUUUAUAUAAGUUUCAGAAAGUCUUGAUCCCAGUUUUGCAAGAGACAGGUAGGUUACACAAGGCAAUCUCAUCUGAUGUUGGAUGAUUUCAUUAAGGUUGGGCUCAAGGGAGAAUUCUUGAAGAUAUAUGCUGCAGAAGAAAAUGAAAAGGCAGGGUGGACUGAUUUAACUCCAGAUGCUGAUCCAUCGAUAUUAACAAUUUGAUGGCACCGCCUCCACCACCUCCAACAGACCAAGCUUCAGAUGCAAAUUUAAGAGAGUCGCCAUCUAUUUCAGUUCGGGAGUCACAAGAUGAUUCUUAGUUUAUUUACAUUAAUUUACUAAGGAAUGAACUUUAUGAAGUUUUUUUAUUUUGGUAGGGGUAACCUUAAAAUGAUAACUUUAUGACUUAUUUUAGUAUUGAACAUUAUAAAGAAUUUUAGCAUUAAACAUUUUAUUA